GGGUGUGUAAGGGAACAUGCAGUGCCUCUCCACAGUUGAAAAGGAUGAAGGAGCAACAGAUUGUACCAGAAGUGACUGGAAUCAAGUGAUUCAGCUGAUAUAUGUUUACCCAAGUCAGAACAAAAGGAAAGAAAAGAUUACGAAGAUGGAUUUUGAAGAUAGGCUUAAAAGUUACCAGGCUUAUCAGCAAAACUUUGCCCCGUCUCUGGCCUGCACAAGCAGAAAACAAUAGCGGCUGUUCCUUCCUUCUUGCUGGAAGCCACCUGACCAUUGCCAGGAAGAGGAAUGCAAAACAUUCCCAGGAGCAGCUCCUGACGUCAGUGCAACAUUCCACCUCCCAGCGGUCAAGACUGUCUGGAAAUUCCAGUCUCCAGCAGAACUCAUUUAAUAUGAUAACAGCUGUAGCCUGCACUGAAUCACAUUAAAAACUCCUUCAUGUUAAAGCAAUAGACAGUGAUAUUAUCUGCUUAAAAACAAGGAUAGAGCUGAACUGCUUUCUCUGAAGUUAUAUUACAGUGCUUACUGUGAUAUUUUCUUUUCUUUUUUUUUUUUACACUGUACAGUAAAAGUACAUUAUAGUGGAGGUAUAUGAUGAUACGCUUAAGUUGGAUUUUUUAAAAGGACCAUGUACCAUUUCUGAAUGUUUCAUGAGGGAGCUGGGAAACAAGGAGGAAAGCCAGAAGCUUAUUUAAGAUUACAGAGGGUAAUCAUGACUCAGCCAGAAUUCCUUAUAGGAGGCACCAGCCACUUCACAGCCAUUCCACAACCCCACCCUCCAGCAUGCAGGACAGUAUCUUGCCUUAAAGAAGAAGUUUCCAUCUCAAACAAAUAUUGAUUCUUUAGUGGGUUUAAGUCAGACCCUGAGGUGACCAGCAUGGACUCGAGCUUUUACUAUUCUUUGACUUUACUUUUCAAUUCUGGGUCUAAAGGUGCUGAGGAGGAGGUAUGAUAGAAACAUGCCAAACAGUUUCCCCUAUAGUAGUCCCUGAUACAUCAAGUAGUGACAACAAUACAUCUAGAUAACACAGAUAACGGAGCUGUCCUGUCGUGUCUUGUUUAGAGGUAGGAUAAGCUUUUAAAUGUAGUAAAAACAGUAAAGAUUUGCAAGUAGGGAAGGCACUUUUUUUUUUUUUUUUUUUUUUGCAAGGGGGAGGCCUUCCCCCUAACCCCAUAUCAAUAAUAAACUGAGUGAAGGACAUCUAGAGGCCACAUACACCCUUUUAAAUUGUUAAUGAAUGUGCUGUUUUUGAGGGGUAAGUGGGAGAGGGCUUUUGUAAACAAUAUAACCUUGAAACUCUCACAAUGUUUCCUGUAUCACCUAUAAUAUUCAAAUUUGCAAUGUCUGGCAAAAUGGGAUGAUUAGAAAUAGAAUUUCAGCUACGAAUUCCCUUGCUUUUGUGGGUUUAAAAUAAAAACUUAAUAUCCGUAUACAUUAAUAUGUUCAAAUAACAAUAAAAUUCCUUCCGCCCUACUCUGAAAGACUGACUCAACUGAAAGUUACACAAGGGAUAUUCCUGUUCCGGUUGAAUGGUCCAAAUUCUGCUGGCUUUAUGCACACA